CAAAUUGAGAGUUUGAUCCUGGCUCAGGACGAACGCUGGCGGCGUGCCUAAUACAUGCAAGUCGAGCGAGCUGAAUUCAAAGAUUCCUUCGGGAUGAUUUGUUGGACGCUAGCGGCGGAUGGGUGAGUAACACGUGGGCAAUCUGCCCUAAAGACUGGGAUACCACUUGGAAACAGGUGCUAAUACCGGAUAA
rnacentral:rRNA from 1 species